CGCGGGGCGGGGCGGGCCCGGCGCGGCGCGCGCGGCGGCUGCAGGAGGACGUGAGGCCCGUGAGGUCGAUCCCAGGGAUGUGGCGUCCCACAGAGGCUGCAAGGGGCUCGCAGCGACAGCCGGCUCCGAGCGUGUCUGGAUGCUCUGAUUAGCAAGACCUACUGAAUAGCAGACUGGAAGCGAGAGGAAGAAUGACAAAUCAGACACACAGAGUCCUGAGACUGCCUCAGAAUAACCUCUUCAGGAGCCACACCUUGAGAGUCACAACCCAGACAGACUUACCAUAGAUGGAGAUUGCACCUAGAAUCACCCAUGCUGACCACUCAGGGCGCUUUCUCUCACUGCAACACCCGAGCCAGACGUUUCUCCACCAGUGACAUUGUUCGGGCCGCGGCUGCUGCCUGCUCGCCUCUUCUGAAAAGAAAUAUUAGCAAAUGUGGCUCCUCCUCGCUGUCCGAAUUGUUCAUGAACGUGAUCAUCGCCGCUUUCCAAGGGAGCGCUCACGAGGGCACAGCCAAGCACUACUCAAGGCUGUGGGGACAAGAGAGCAGAGCAAACAGUGAACACCACUCUGCAAAUAACUGAAAGUCUGAAGAGGAUUCAGCAGAUUUCAGCAAGGAAGCUCCAGCACACCAUGUAGUUCCAUCUUCUCCCAACAGCAGAGUUAUCCUGCCCUCACCCAGGCAUGACAAUCUGUUCAGCUGAAGUCACUGAAACAGCUGCAGGCACAGAUAUCAGCAAAAUGCAGCACUAAAGAAACCUGCUUUUUCUUUACCACAGCUUUCACACUUGCUGCCUCUAUUUCCUCUCUCCCACCUUACCUUCCACAAAGGAGGUUUCUCAGCGCUCAGUGUUUGUUUGGCAGGGGCCAGACAGACACCUUCAGACAGCUUCACCUCACACACUGGCUGCCUGUCAGAAAGCUCCGAGAGCUCAGCUCUUACACAACACUCCUGCGAGCAUCAGCAAGGAGCAGAAGUUUCUUAGUAACCUGGAGCCUCAGCUUUGCAUAAGCCACUAAUCAGGAGCUACAUGCUGUCUUAUGACUGUUUAUUACCCAGAUAAAUUUUAGUAGCAGUGCUUCUCUUUGCCGAUGAAGAGGUUUGCAUAGCAAGGGAAAGACCUGUCUCCUUAGGUGAGCCACUUGUGGGUUUUUCCUUAUGUUGUCUUGGGAUUAAAAGCAAAACUACUAAAACAUGGAGAAUAAAUGUGGGGGCUAGAAAUGCUUGGCCUCUUUUCACCUACUGCUAUGCAGAAAAGCAGGCAAAGCAGUGACAGAGUGCAGAAAGGACAGGAACAGCUCCUCUUCCUAGACACAAGAGGGAGAAGGUGGACUGCCCUGAAUACUGCAGAACAGCCUUAAAAUCAGGAUUUCAGGAAGUUAUAAAUGCAACUAAUAGGAAAAUUCUUUUUAGCAUUUAUUUAGUCAGCUUAACAAAGCAAGUAAUUAAUCAUUUUCUGAUACUCAGCCAUUUGUCCACAAGCAAAACCAUACCUCUAAUGCAUUAUAAGCAGUUAUAUCUACCAGAACAACUCUCCUCUACAGAACCUUACCCGAGCUCCUGUGUCUCAGGAAACAGAAGAGGAAGCUGAAAAAGCCACGUGAUUUGGACACAGUCACUUAAAUCUGAAUCAUUUACAGCCCAACCAGCACACCCUGACGUCAGAGUGGAUACUUUGAAGAUCUGUGAGAUAUUCUUGCUUCUCACUAAAGAAACUCACUUUGGAGGAAGGAAAAAGGGAAGAGUAGGAGAGCCCUCCCCCCUUUCUUUCACAGCCUCCUCAACACAUCUGCACCUUCAAGAAAUUUUAGAACAUCAAUUCAAUCCACCCAAGUGAAACAUUUUUCAGACAUCUGCUCCUCCCCUGGCUUCUCUUGCUUUUUCGUAACAUUUUGUUCCUCCUUUGGUGAUAAAAGUGGUACAGUUAUGGGAAACAGAAGCAAGGCUAACCCUCACACCAGGCCUGUCAGCUUCAUAGUAAUCCCAUGUUCUUAUGAGUGAGCUGCUUAACCCUUGGGCGCUUAUUUCUUACAGAGACCAAGAUCUCCUCUCUGGAUGGUUACACAUUCUUUUGACUGAGCACAUGAGGGCUCACAAUUUACAGCUGGGACACUACAGCUGCUCCAGUUAUAGGAUUCAGGUCCUUAAAGAAGUCGGAUACAUAAAGCCAUUCAAUCAUGACAUACUUUUGGAUGAGGAACAGGACAAGUUAUGCAUGCCACAGGAUCUGUGACCUACAGAAUUUAAAUAACUCUCAAAACCUUCUGUUCAUGUCAGAGACCAGGGAGGAAAUAAAUAAAGCUUUACUCACUGAGAGUUUGGGAUAAAUAUUUAGGUUUCAACAACCCGAUGAAAAUACUGAAGAACUUUUUCUCACAUUAUUUAAGAAAUCAUUUUUGCUACAUAAAGAGAGCAAUUCUGCAGAGGACUUUGAAGGGACAGCCAGUUAGCCUACUUUCAAUACCCUAGUUAUACCCACUGGAGGAGUUAAGCCAAUAGCAAAACCACUGUGCCAAUUACUAACCUUCACAGUUACGUGGGAAGAAAUAAACUCAGGUUGAAAUACAGCCAAUUUUAAGGACAUUUUCUACUAUGCUCUCCCAAUAAGUAAAUGGACACGCAAGGGUGCCAUGAUACUUUUGAUCAGCAAGCAGAUUCAGACCUGAACAUAGCUUCACUGUCCCUUGCUCACACAGCCAUGGUUCCAGUGAGGGUUGGCACAAGCACACCCCAAAGAAUCCAAGACUUUACAGCAGCUCCUGUGGCAGACACCAAAGUCACAGUGGCCUUAGAUGGAUCUAAACUGUCCUGCCAAAGGGGUUCUCAACCACCCUCCAGCUCUCUGGUGCCAACAGCAGGUGCUCAUCAGCUGUGUCCUGCUUUUGAGAAGACAGUGAGGCACCAGUUUCCCUUUGCUGUCACAGAGCCAGGUCCCAGCAGGGCUGGCCCCAGAGUGGCUACGGGAACAGCCCCGGUGGCAAUCCCACACCAGGAAUACAGAGCACUGUGCAGCCCCCUUCCAGAAGGAUUGAGCCUUAAGGUGAAAAGCCCUCUGCUUGCUGCCAGACAAGCAGCCCACCCUCACCUCAGGUCUGCAAAACCCUUGGCAGUGUGGCUUUGUGGCUCUUACCUAAGCAGGGGCCUUGAACAUAUGGUUUACUGGGGCCCUCUGCCCCACCACAGAGCCAGCAGGGAUUUUGUCUAAUGCCACUAUUUAUUCAUCAGAGGUGCACUUUGAACUGGCACCAAGGCUGUGCUGGCUGCCAGAGAGAGCUGUGGUUUGAGCAAUCUGUCCUCCUGGGGAGGAAGGACCAGCCUGGUCACUCUCAGGCACAUGCCCAGCAUGACAGCACCCUUUGGGCUGAGCAGAGGGAAAGCACAGAAAGUCAGGGACGUGCUUGAUAAAAAAAAAAAAGGGAGCCACAGAGCACCAGGCAGCUAAGACGUGGCUUACAAAGCCACACUGUUUUCUGGUCUCAUUUUACUACUUUACUAAGGUAAAGAGCCUUGUGGAAAUGAUUUCUGCCUGCCAAAAGGAUGCUGCAUAUACCAUAAUGGAAAGCAAGGGAGCCUUCUUUACUACUUAUGCUCAUGACAGCAAAUACAUCUGUGCAUAUUGACUGUUUUUCUAGGCUGAGCUGAAAAGUGGGGAAGGACAGUUCAGGAAUGGAAAACAUGGAGCACUGAGAUAAAUGUAAGCUGUGUCUAUAUUCACAGAAAGCUUUAGAGCAUGAUCUACCAAAUACAUUAAACAAUGUGCCAGUCCAUUAUCAAACUGAAGCACUAAGUUAUAUCAGUUCUCCUCCCUGCCUCUCAAACCAUCAGGUCCCAUUCAAAAAAACCAUACAAUGCUUAAGAGCAAAAUGACCCAAUUCUCAAAACUGUAUGGCAAAAAUGAAAGAGGACAGAAACUAGGCCAGUAGUAAGUGCUUCUUAGAGGAGCUGAGGUGGGAAUACAUUACUCCUGCUUUACAGCAGUCCUGUGAAUCCUGAAGGGAAGCAGGAGUCACCAAUUCUCUUUCCAGAUGUCCUUCACGCAAGAGACCUCUUUCCUGAACUAAGAAAAACCAACUUUAUGGCUUUUGGUUAAACUGGGCCAGUUCACUAACAUUAAGAUCUCGCCUCAGUUUACCUUUUCCUUGCAGCAUUUUCAUGCCGCAAACAAUCUAAAUCCUUUGCUUUGCAUUUCAUCCGUGCCAAAUAAUAUCACUACGAUAUACAGCUCAGAAUAGCUGCUAUAGCCUGGCAGAAUACUUAAUAUCCACAUUGUUCUCUUUGAUGGCAAUUAGAUGAAGAGAAAUGUAUUUUCUUUGCUAUAUUUAGAUCAAGAGAAAACUCUGGGACAGCCUGAUUUCUCCUAAGUUUUGGCUGCAGCAACCACUGCUGUUGGUAAAUAUGAAGAGGAAAUUAACUUCUAAGAAAUCAGAAGUGGUGGGGCCAAAAUUAGGAGGAAAGAUUUCCAUGUUCUUGCCAAUAAAUAAAGUCAUAAUGGGCGUGCUGCUAAAAUGACUGGGGACUUGGAACACACAAUCUCAGUGUGCAAAUACCACUCACUAUCAACCCCUGAACAAAAAUAACAAAAACACAAGAUGCUAUGGGAAGCUGCAAAGAUUUGUAACUUUCUUUUUACAUUUUGGCUGAAUUAGCACUGCUUUCUCUUGCCCCACAAGAAAGGCACAAGAUGUAGCCCCAAAGGGCGAUUCUGCUGGCAGAGCUGAAAUCAGACCCUCCCCGAGAGUCAGAAGGAUCAUUUUGCCAGCAGGAAGCCCAAAUACUCGAUCAGCCAGCUCCUUGUCACAGCAUAAAGGCACCACAGCCCUGCAGAACUACUCACGCAAGUAAAACCUCACAGCCCGGCUCACACUUCACAUGCGGGAGCAGCAACUCGCAUUGGUCCCGGUACUGCUGAGGACAUCGGCGCCAGCAGGGGCUGCAGGUGACACUUCGGGGACACCCAAGGACAUCGCUGCCGGGGCUGAGUUCCUGUGUCCUGGCCGGGUGGCUGCUCUCCCCUGGGCGCCCAAGGGGACACAGGGACACAGCGGGGCUGGGACUGCUGCCCUGUGCAUCCAAGGGCACGGCCAGCCCGGCCGGUGACACAGACAACAAUUAAAGAAAAGGGGAAAAAAAACCCAAGACAAGCCCCACCCUGCCAGGCAGAGCAGACCUUUUGCAGGAGGCCAGAGCAGACCCUGCUCCCAUGCAGAUGUUCUUGCUCCCGGCUUAAAAGAUCCGGCGGCCUCCGAAGGUGUGCCGGAGGCGCUUCCACAUGAAAGCCGGGAUACGCCGCCACCGCCCAGGAGAAAGAGAUCUGUGCAGUAAUUUCCGUACAGGAUCUCUCACAGAUAAUGCAGAGUGUGCUCAUUGCCAGGGAAAUCACAUGCCCAGCUGCAUCCCAGCUCCCUGCCUUGGAGAUCUUGGGACAAAUCCUUCAGGGCAAUCCCAGGCUCCAAGCAAUCAUCAGACCUCUUCAUGUGACUUGGAAAACUGUGUUCCUACUUUUCGACAUGUGUAUGCAGACACGAGGGAAUGUGAGCAACAGAUGACCAGAAUCUGCAGAUAUUUGCACACGGGGGUAAGCUUAUGCCAUGAAUAGUGCCAUUUUACUGAGCAGGGUCACUUUUCUCAAGAGAGAUUGAUCUCAUACUUUAUUUCGUGAAGACUAGUUCCCAACUAAGCACAGACUGUGAGGAAAUGAAUUGGAGUGGAAAGAGUCUAUAAAUUUCUUUUCCUGCACUGAAUUCAAAAUAGCGUUUCUCUUACUGGAAAAACAAACAUAAGCUCAUUUUGGGUGUCUCUGUCUGCCUGCCUGUGGGAUUGGUAGUCCACACCUUCUGCCAAUUCAGAGACUUCUCUGCCCCCGUUUAUACUCUAGAGGUUAUGUCUUAAUUACAGAAAAGCCAAUCUGCUGUGACAUCAAUUUCCCUCUCUAGGGGAAAUUCCUAGCUGUGAAAUCCUAGCAGAGGCAAACUGCUGUUAUUUCUUUUUUUUUUUCUUUCUUUCUUUUUUUUUUUUUUUUUUUCUUUU